rnacentral:pre_miRNA from 1 species
ACAUACUUCUUUAUGUACCCAUAUUAUCAUACAGUGCUAUGGAAUGUAAAGAAGUAUGUAU